AUUGAACGCUGGCGGCAGGCUUAACACAUGCAAGUCGAGCGGAGAUGAGGUGCUUGCACCUUAUCUUAGCGGCGGACGGGUGAGUAAUGCUUAGGAAUCUGCCUAUUAGUGGGGGACAACACUCCGAAAGGAAUGCUAAUACCGCGUACGUCCUACGGGAGAAAGCAGGGGAUCUUCGGACCUUGCGCUAAUAGAUGAGCCUAAGUCGGAUUAGCUAGUUGGUGGGGUAAAGGCCUACCAAGGCGACGAUCUGUAGCGGGUCUGAGAGGAUGAUCCGCCACACUGGGACUGAGACACGGCCCAGACUCCUACGGGAGGCAGCAGUGGGGAAUAUUGGACAAUGGGGGGAACCCUGAUCCAGCCAUGCCGCGUGUGUGAAGAAGGCCUUAUGGUUGUAAAGCACUUUAAGCGAGGAGGAGGCUACUGAGACUAAUACUCUUGGAUAGUGGACGUUACUCGCAGAAUAAGCACCGGCUAACUCUGUGCCAGCCGCCGCCGUAAUAC
rnacentral:rRNA from 1 species